rnacentral:rRNA from 1 species
UGGGGAAUAUUGCACAAUGGACGGAAGUUUGAUGCAGCGACGCCGCGUGGAGGGUGUAGGCCUUCGGGUUGUUAACUCCUUUUUCUCGCGAAAAAGGCACAGUUUUGGCUGUGUUGAUGGUAGUGGGGGAAGAAGCGCCGGCUAACUACGUGCCAGCAGCCGCGGUAAUACGUAGGGCGCGAGCGUUGUCCGGAUUUAUUGGGCGUAAAGAGCUCGUAGGUGGUUCGUCGCGUCUGUCGUGAAAGCCAGCAGCUUAACUGUUGGUCUGCGGUGGGUACGGGCGGGCUUGAGUGCGGUAGGGGUGACUGGAAUACCUGGUGUAGCGGUGGAAUGCGCAGAUAUCAGGAGGAACACCGAUGGCGAAGGCAGGUCACUGGGCCGUUACUGACACUGAGGAGCGAAAGCGUGGGGAGCGAACAGG